rnacentral:lncRNA from 1 species
GUGCUGAGGAUGGUCUUUGGGAGAUUGUGGAAACUUUAGCAGCCAGAGCACUGCCGGAGGAAGUGCGUCACUGAGGACGGUGGGCUGUACCCUGCUGGAGGAAGUGCGUCACUGGGGUGGGGAGAUGGUGGGCUGUACCCUGCAAGUGGAAGUGCAUCAUGGGAUGGUGUGCUGUUCCCUGCUGGAGGAAAUGCAUCAUGGGAGGGUGGGCUGUACCCUGCUGGAGGAAAUGCAUCAUGGGAGGGUGGGCUGUACACUGCUGGAGCAAGUGCGUCACUGGGGAGGGUGGGCUGUAUUGGAUUGUGUAAGAUGUGAGCUCUCUGCUUCUUAGUCACCCUGUGACUUAACUACCUGUCUUGCCGUCUUCUUGUCCCAGAAUUAAGCAACUUCGGCCCCUCCUUUCCUUCCCUGUGAUAGACUUUGCACUCUCAACCAUGAGCGUCAGUCAGUCAUCCCUCCCUCCCUCCCCUCUCUCCCUUCCCUCCCUCCUUCCUCUCCCCCUACCCCCUACUUCCUCAAGUUGCCUUCUUCUUGUCUAGAAAAAUAAGUAAGAGACUCUUAGGAUGGAAGAAGGAUGAAAACUCAGCCGAGGAAGUUCUUCUUGGGGCUCUGAAUCCUGGGUACUAUUUGGGGAUGCAUUUGCAUUUCUGGAAUCUAUGGGUGUCGAGAUGGUCAGAGAGCUACCAUAUUAGAGCAGAAAAACAUAACAAGGGAAGAGAUGCAACUUAGGGAGAUGACGGAGACAUCUGUCGGCGGACCUGAGUUCCCAGCACCUAAGUCAGGAUGCUCGCGACUUCUGUGAUGCCAGCUCCAAGGGAUCUAACGCCCUCUUCUGGACUCCAGGGAUCCCUGUAGCAUAGAGGAGGGUGAGCGGCAACCUUGGAUACACUCAAACCGCUCGGGAACGGAUGCUCAUCUCACCUGCCAGCCUCCUGCAAUGCCAAGUUGUUCUGCGGCCCAACUGGCGUUGUAACCAAUGAAUUCAAGCCCUGCCAAUCAAACAGCUACCGCAUCAGAAACAGGCUUACCUUUUACCAUGGACCAAUGAUGCUGUCACAUUCCAAGUCCAUCAGGAUGAAUCCAUUCACAUCAGAGCAGCCAUAUUUCACUGGACCUUUGAGACAGCCUCACAGACACCAGCAGCGGGAGCGUGGGCAUGAAGUGUGUUCUCAUGCGCACAGGACCUGGGACUCAGCCGGGAAAGCGGAUGCCAGUGUGACUGUGACAGGCAGAUGAGGCUAUCAGUUGGAAAAGUCAGGUGAUAGAGUCUCGCAGACUCUUACUUCAGGUAGGUGUGGGCACCCCAGAAGACCACUCAGUGUGUGGAAUGCUGCCUUCACACCAGUGUGAAGACAUCGGUUGCCACCUCCACAGUCUUGAGUUGCUCCCCCCCAGAGGGAAUGUUGUGAUGUGUGGGCAGGUGGGUGAAAGAGAACCUGCCAUGGGCCCACAGGCCAAGGGUUAAUUUAUAGCUUGCAACCUUGAUGUUGCCUUGUGUUAGUGACAACC